rnacentral:rRNA from 1 species
UACAGGGGGUGCAAACGUUGCUCGGAAUUAUUGGGCGUAAAGCGCGCGUAGGCGGCUAUUUAAGUCGGAUGUGAAAGCCCCUGGCUCAACUGGGGAAGUGCACCCGAAACUGAAUGGCUUGAGUGCAAAAGAGGGCCGCGGAAUUCCCGGUGUAGAGGUGAAAUUCGUAGAUAUUGGGAGGAACACCAGUGGCGAAGGCGGCUACCUGGACCGGUUCUGACGCUGAGGCGCGAAAGCGUGGGUAGCAAACAGG